rnacentral:rRNA from 1 species
UUCCGGUUGAUCCUGCCGGACCCGACUGCUAUCGGAGCGGGACUAAGCCAUGCGAGUCGUACGUCCCUUGACUGCAAGGGGCGUGGCAAACGGCUCAGUAACACGUAGCUAACCUACCCUAGGGACGCGGAUAACCCCGGGAAACUGGGAUUAAUCCACGAUAGAUCAAAGCUUCUGGAAAUGGGCUUUGAUCGAAAAGGGGUGGGCAAGCAUGUUUUGCCCAUCUGCUCUAGGAUGGGGCUGCGGCCGAUCAGGUUGUUGGUGGGGUAAUGGCCCACCAAGCCUAUAACCGGUACGGGCUUUGAGAGAAGGAGCCCGGAGAUGGACACUGAGACAAGGGUCCAGGCCCUACGGGGCGCAGCAGGCGCGAAACCUUCGCAAUGCGCGAAAGCGCGACGAGGUCACUCCGCGUGCCACUCGCUGAGGGUGGCUUUUCCUAAGUCUAAAAAGCUUAGGGAAUAAAGGGAGGGUAAGUCUGGUGUCAGCCGCCGCGGUAAUACCAGCUCCCCGAGUGGUCGGGACGUUUAUUGGGCCUAAAGCAUCCGUAGCCGGUCCUGCAGGUCUCCUGUUAAAUCCAACAGCCCAACUGUUGGACUGCAGGAGAUACCACAGGACUAGGAGGCGGGAGAGGCGGACGGUACUCCAUGGGUAGGGGUAAAAUCCUUUGAUCCAUGGAAGACCACCAGUGGCGAAAGCGGUCCGCCAGAACGCGCUCGACGGUGAGGGAUGAAAGCUGGGGGAGCGAACCGGAUUAGAUACCCGGGUAGUCCCAGCUGUAAACGAUGCGAGCUAGGUGAUGGGGUGGCUGCGUGCCAUCCCAGUGCCGC